ACAAAAAAGGUAAACCGGAGUUGCAACAAAUCAUUAAAAAUAAUAUUUUCUUUUUGAGGUCAAUUUGCUUCCUCCCUUCUUUCUUUCUUUCGAGUUCUAUUAUCGGACGUCGUCUCCUUCUCUUCCUAUUCACACCUCCUUCACGACUUUGACGAAUAGCAAUCGCAUCAUCAUCUUCUUCUCUCGAUUUCUCUUAGCUUUCUAGACGAUGAAAACCUAAGUGAAACUCGGUCCCAUCAUAUCUCUACGGCGUUUAUGAUUAUCCUUCUCCAGGUGAGAUUACAACGAAAUCGCCGCUGAAAACUGGUUUACAUGCUCAUCUUCUAGAUUAAUUUAUAUUCAGCAUGCACCAUGGAGGGAAUCUACAGCUAUGAAUACAAACGCAAAGGGGGUCUGAUUACCCCCUUGGAGGUGGACUGGACUCAGGAACGUUUACAUGGCUCAAUCAUAUAGUCAGCCACAGGGUUAAAUUCUCUAAAACCACAAAUAUAUUGUGAGAUUACAAACAGAUUCCUCCUACUACGUCCCAAUCCUAAACUAACAAUUCUUUCUUUCAUACAUUUUUGGUGAACCAUUUCUUAAACGAAGAACUAGACUGACUCAUUUCCAUCUCCUGAGCUGAGAGCACAAUGUUUCUUUUAUCAAUCCAGAGUCCUUGGUGGUUUUCAUCAUCACCAACCACCAUAACUUACAUACAGCUUUCUCCUUCAUCCCUGUUGCAUUGCAUGCUCAUGCGAAUACGGUGGAUCUCCAUCUGGUGAGUUGGACAAAGCAAGUAAACCAUUUUUUAGAGAAAAAAAAUCAAAUAAUGUUUGCAACAAAGAAAGCACACAGUCCAAGGUUCCAGAACAUAAUCCAUUUCUUAAACUAUUCAUGUAUUUACGACUUGCAAAUAUAGUGAUUUACACGCUGAGCAAAGUAUAUAACAUGUUUAUUUGUGCGA